UUAAUAUUUAUUUAUUAAUAUUUUUUUGAAAAUUUUAUUAUUUUUAAUAAAAAUAAUUUUUUUAAUAAAAUUUUUAGUAUUGUAUAAAGAAAAAAUAAUAUAAAUUAUAGUUUAUUAGUAUUGUAAAAGAAUAUUGAAAUAAUUUGAAAAAUUUUUAUUUAAAAAGAAAAAUUAAUUUUUUGUACCUUGUGUAUCAGGGUUUAUUAAUUAAAUAAUUUUUAUAAAUUUUUCUCGAUUUUAAGAGAUUUAAUUUAAUAUGUUAGUUACUGUAGCAUAAGUAUUAAUAAUAUUAUAUUAGAAAUGAAACGUUAGUCGUUCUUAAAAAUAUCUAGUUAUUUAAGAAAUAAAUUUAAUUUAUUUAUAGUUAAUUAAUUAAUUAAUUAAAUUUAAUUAAUUAAAUUUUUUAUAAAAAUAUUUUAAGGGAUGAGCUUUAAAAUAAAUUUUUAUAAUAAUUAUAAUUUAUUUUAAAAAAUGUAAGCUUAUAAAUAGUUACCAUUAAAAAUUAUGUUAUAAUUUAUUUAUAUAAUUAUAUUAUUUAAUUUUUAUUUAAAUUUUUUAUUAAAUUAUUUAUUAAAACUAAGAAAAUAAAAAAAUUAUGAUAAAAUUAGUAAAUUAAAUAUGGUUAUAAAAAUUAUUUUUGAGAGGUUUUUAUAAUGAAUUCGGCAAAAUUUUAUACUCACCUGUUUAUCAAAAACAUGUCUUUUUAUUUUUAUUUAUAAAAAGUCUAACCUGCCCACUGAUUUUUUUAAGGGCCGCGGUAUUUUGACCGUGCAAAGGUAGCAUAAUCAUUAGUCUUUUAAUUGAAGGCUUGUAUGAAUGGUUGAAUGAGGUAUAAGCUGUAUCAUAAAAAUUUAUAAUUGAAUUUUAUUUUUUAAUUAAAAAGUUAAAAUAAAAUUAAAAGACGAGAAGACCCUAUAAAGCUUUACAUUUAUUAUUUAUAAUUUAUAAAGAAUUUUUAAAAUUUUAUUAUCUUAUUUGUUUUGUUGGGGUGACAUUAAGAUUUAUUAAACUCUUGUAAGUUUUAUACAAAAAUUUUUGUUUAAUUGAUCCAAUUAUUUUGAUUAAAAAUUUAAGUUACUUUAGGGAUAACAGCGUAAUUUUUUUAGAGAGUUCUUAUCGAUAAAAAAGAUUGCGACCUCGAUGUUGGACUAAGAAUUAUUUUAGGUGUAGAAGUUUAAAAUUUGGGUCUGUUCGACCUUUAAAUUCUUACAUGAUCUGAGUUCAGACCGGCGUGAGCCAGGUUGGUUUCUAUCUUUAAUUAAUUAAAAUAUUUUAGUACGAAAGGACCAAAUAUUUAAAAAAUUUUUUAGUACAAGAAUUAAAUUAAUAAUAAUAAAAUAUUUAAAUUAGUAA
rnacentral:rRNA from 1 species